UCGAGAAGCUUCGGCAAUGGGCGAAAGCCUGACCGAGCGACGCCGCGUGAGCGAAGAAGGCCCUAUGGGUUGUAAAGCUCUGUCAGAUUGGGAAGAAAACCUCGCGGUUAAUACCCGCGAGGCCUGACGGUACCAUCAGAGGAAGCACCGGCUAACCCCGUGCCAGCAGCCGCGGUAAUACGGGGGGUGCGAGCGUUGUUCGGAUUCACUGGGUAUAAAGGGUGCGCAGGCGGCUUGAUAAGUCAGAGGUGAAAUUCGUCGGCUCAACCGACGGACUGCCCCUGAAACUGUCUCGCUUGAGUCCGGGAGAGGAAGGUGGAAUUCCAGGUGUAGCGGUGAAAUGCGUAAAUAUCUGGAGGAACACCGGUGGCGAAGGCGGCCUUCUGGCCCGGAACUGACGCUCAGGCACGAAAGCUAGGGGAGCGAACGGG
rnacentral:rRNA from 1 species